AUAUGAAUCAUACCAUCUUCUUCUGCUGCUGUGUUGGUGAUAAUCAUGAUCCUCUCCUGUUCAGUUGCUCUUGAUGAGCAGCAGGCCGAUGCCGGUGACGAUGAGCGUCGCCGGGAAGCCGAACUGGAGGUGGCUGAAGAAGGAGAGGGUGUAGCCGAACUGCUGGGACCGGCGCGCCUGCUCGCACACGAUCAGGUUCGCCGCCGACCCCAGAAGCGACAGGUUGCCGGCCACCGUGCUCACCCACGCCAGGAUCAGCCACGCGUUGGUCUCCGCCGCGGGGGAGAUCGCCGCCGCCGAGGCCGCCACCCGUGCGCCGAGCAGCAGGACUGCAACAAAGCACAGACCCAAUGCAUAGUCUGUCAGUAGUUUGUUUGUGGUGCAGGGGAUUUGGCAUGUUCAGCUGCUUCUCUUGUUCUUUAGUGGAAUGAAUGAAUGAUUGGCCGGUCUGAUAGAAGUUGGGACCUGACAGCCUGCCUAGCAUCUAACACAUUGAUUCAGAAAUAAUUGCACAUCUGAUCCAAAAAUGAAUCGUGCCAUUUGUUUGGUGUCCCUGAUUACUGCAGCCUGAUUAAUUACAGUUUGGAGGCAACUAGUAUGAAAUUCGCACAAAAUUAGAUGAAGUUCACUCUGAAAAUGGCUUCGAAAUGGCAGGGGGGAGGAACUAACCGGUCGGGACAUUGGACGCGACAUUGGAGAGGAGAAGGAUGACCAGGGCGAGGAUGACGAUCCCGGUCGGCGUGUCGAUCCGCGCAUACGGCUCCAUGAACUCCCAGAACGUGCUGGGAAUGCCGGUCUUGUUGAAGCCGUCCACGGUGAUGAACAUCCCACAGAAGAAGAGCAGCAGCGGGUAGG
rnacentral:lncRNA from 1 species